ACACUGAGUAAGGGCCGACGUGCGAGGGGCGGCGCGGCCGGGUGUAGUUCGCAGAGGGCGAGGGCUUUAUUCUGUGCGUGCGGUGGAGAAGGGGAGGGGAUGGAAGGGAGGAUGGGUCGAGGAAGUCGCCCAUCUGCUGUGCUCGGGGGGCGCGGGCAAAGCUUGUCGGCUUGCAGAGGAACAUGGCAGGGAAGAGGACCUGUGGGUCGUUCUUUGCAGCCCCAGCUGCCCAGAGUUCCGGAGAGAGGCGGAGGGUUCGUAUCCGCUGGGAAUUGUUGGCUGGGGGAAACUUUCCUGCCAGGUCAGGCAUGCCAUUGGGGUCUGUGUAUGGGACGCGGAUCGUCACUCGGAGUUUACUAAUGUUUACAGGGCUGCGCAGCAGGGAAACGGAAGCGUGGGGGGAGGAGGGAAGCGACCGCACGUCCCGAGCACGCACGGAGACCCCGGAGUUAUGGCGCCCCUGCGCGCUCUAACCGAGCCUGGGCUUCGCAGCGACUUUUAUAGGGGCCUUAUUAGCAUAUUGUGAACGUCCCGCUUUGGCUUCCUUGUGAUUGGUCUUGGCGUCCCCCAUGGAAUGUCCUUAUCAGUCCGCCGCUGAGCUAUUGGUUGCUGAGCCGGAUGAGGGUGGGCAUUGCGCAGUGACUGGCACGGGUCUCUGUUUCCGCUGCCUUCUUUUUUCUUCAGAGGGGCGGGGAGGAGGAGGAGGUCGAGUUGAUUUGAAUGUCUUUGGGUCGCCUGGCCUCCGGCCUCGGAUUGGCCAUUGGCGCUGCGGGGGCGGGCCUUAUUCGUUGGUUCUGUGCCGUGAUUGGCGCCCCUCUUGGCCUCCGCCCUACGGCCUGGCGAGCCCCACAGGCGGUGGCUCGCGGGGCGGGGCGGGACGCCCCCUGGGCGCCUCUGCAUUGGCUGAGGGCCCGGCCCCGCCCCUGUCCCUCAGGGGCCCGGGCCUGGUCACUUCCGGCCGCGGAGCAAUGGCGGCCCUCGGGGGUCGGGGCGAGGCUGGCCUGCCUUGGUUCCGGGGCUGCAGAGGAUGCCGCUCAGGCCUCCUGCUCAGGCCCCAAGGACUCGCGGGCAGGCCCGCCAGUGGCCCCGGGCCGCCCCUCCGGCGACCCGCGGAUGCGGCCGCGCGGAGCGGGGAAGCGUGAGUGGCCCGGGACCGGUGCCCGGCGAGGACGAGC